rnacentral:SRP_RNA from 1 species
CCGUGCUAGGCGGGGAGGUAGCGGUGCCCUGUACUCGCAAUCCGCUAUAGCGAGGCUGAAUUCCCUGUCGAGGUGUUAAGACUUUAAGGUCUGCCUUAAGGGAGUAGUGUUGACACUUGGGUCCUGCGCAAUGGGAACUCGUGAAUCAUGUCAGGUCCGGAAGGAAGCAGCAUUAAGCGAACAUUCUCGUGUGCCGCGGGGAAGCCUGAGUCGAGCUAUGAACUUAAGUAACGCUUAGGGUCUUGACAUCGACACAGGGUGCACGG